rnacentral:lncRNA from 1 species
ACGAUAGAGCUUGGCUGAGCCGCCGCAAAAUAGAAUGAAAACCGUUGGUAAGGCCAUGUUUUCCCCCUCCUUUCUAUAAAAAAAACCUAUUUUCUACGAUUUAAAUAAAUUUCUACCAAGAACCAGCCAAAAUUUGUUUGGCUGAGAUGGAGAAGUGCCAGAGAAUGAGGACCAGGCAGCGAAGCUCGAUGCCGUUGCUGCCGCGCCGGAACCCCAACCCGACCCUCAGUGAAUUUUUUCUACAUUUUUCAUGAUUCUUUACAUA